AUUGAACGCUGGCGGCAUGCCUUACACAUGCAAGUCGAACGGCAGCACGGGAGCAAUCCUGGUGGCGAGUGGCGAACGGGUGAGUAAAGUAUCGGAACGUGCCCAGUCGUGGGGGAUAACGUAGCGAAAGUUACGCUAAUACCGCAUACGAUCUAUGGAUGAAAGCGGGGGAUCGCAAGACCUCGCGCGAUUGGAGCGGCCGAUAUCAGAUUAGGUAGUUGGUGGGGUAAAGGCUCGCCAAGCCGACGAUCUGUAGCUGGUCUGAGAGGACGACCAGCCACACUGGGACUGAGACACGGCCCAGACUCCUACGGGAGGCAGCAGUGGGGAAUUUUGGACAAUGGGCGAAAGCCUGAUCCAGCCAUGCCGCGUGCAGGAUGAAGGCCUUCGGGUUGUAAACUGCUUUUGUACGGAACGAAAAGGUUUGGCCUAAUAAGCUGAGCUCAUGACUGUACCGUAAGAAUAAGCACCGGCUAACUACGUGCCAGCAGCCGCGGUAA
rnacentral:rRNA from 1 species